GUUCCUAGUUAGUGGCUCCUCAAAGGUAGCUGUGUGGCUAGGAGAGUCUUUUGGCCUGCUUUCCCUGUCCUGGUACUCCAAACUGCAUUGUGUCUGCAGUUAGUCCUGAGACUGCUAAAAAGAGCAUUGCCUUCAUGUGACACUGGCCGGUGCUGCAUGACGUGUAGUGAGGCGUGUGAGUGUUGGACAUUCUCACGGGCCUAGUCUGGCUCUCACAAGCUUCCAGGAACCAAGGACAUGGUGUGGGUGUGCAUCACCGUUUGGCUGUGCUGUACAAAGUGAGCAUGAACAAUCUAAUCUUAUGCGCACUGGUGGUGGUGAAGCA